AUUGGCGCGCAAGGGCAUGUCGGAUCCCUGCUCGAGCAGCGACGGCAUUCCGCGCGCGCCUCUUCAGUUGUUGGCCCAAGUGCGCGUAAGCCUUGGCCGGCGUUGGUCUCCUGUGCUGCAUACCCACGGAUGGGCAUUCGGUCGGCUCAAAAGUCCCGUUCUCGCCUUGUGCCGCGCCGCCUAUCGGUCGGCUGCGGCAUGGGGUGAACUGCGAAGCAUUCGCCGUGGUCCACUUCCCGACCGCUUCAGGCGCCCUCGAGCUUGUUGGCCCACGGCGGCGUGCUUGAUCUCUCGGAUGCGGAAAACCCAGUCGGUACGAGGCCCUCGGGCCUCUAUUUGCCCCGAAACAAAGCGUGUUCCACGCUCGUCCGAACGACUGCCGCUCCCGUUUUGGUCGGGCCCUCGCGUCCCGAUUCAUGCGGCGACGGCGUCGGUGAGGAAUGCUAC
rnacentral:misc_RNA from 2 species